CCUACGGGAGGCUGCAGUGAGGAAUAUUGGUCAAUGGGCGCGAGCCUGAACCAGCCAAGUCGCGUGAGGGAAGACGGCCCUACGGGUUGUAAACCUCUUUUGCCGGGGAGCAACGGGCGCCACGUGUGGCGCCACUGAGAGUACCCGGAGAAACAGCAUCGGCUAACUCCGCGCCAGCAGCCGCGGUAAUACGGAGGAUGCGAGCGUUAUCGGGAUUUAAUGGGUUUAAAGGGUGCGUAGGCGGAGCGGUAAGUCAGGGGUCAAAUGGAGGGGUUCAACCCCUUACCGCCAUGGAAACUGGCGCUUUUGAGUGGAAGAGAAGUAUGCGGAAUGCGUGGUGUAGCGGUGAAAUGCAUAGAUAUCACGCAGAACCCCGAUUGCGAAGGCAGCAUGCCGGCUUCCUACUGACGCUGAGGCACGAAAGCGUGGGGAGCGAACAGGAUUAGAUACCCUUGUAGUC
rnacentral:rRNA from 1 species